GCCUCUGGAGAAUCCCGGCGAGAACCGGGUGCCGAAGGGGCAAGGCGGCCAAGCGCCGCCGAAACUCUCAGGCAAAAGGACAGAGCGAA
rnacentral:ncRNA from 1 species